CAGGAUUGGAGGAAUAAUAAGCGAUGAUUUCAAAGGACAGAUAGUGCCUAAAGAAACAUCAAGAGACCUAGAUGUGACCAGUGACCACAGACAGAGUCACUAAACAAAUUCCAAAGAGGAGUCAGGCAGGGCAGGCUCUGUAAAGAGGAACUAUUCCAACAGCAACUGACUGAUAAGAUUUCCCAGCAUGCUCCUGGGCUGGCAAAGUCUCCUGAGGUGGGAGGGCAGUUAGCAUUUUACAGUUGUUAUCACUCUGGUGCAAUGACAUCCUUGCCCACCUAAGCUGCUGAGCUGAAGAGGCCAGGCUGAUGGAAACACAGCGUCUCAGAUGGGCAGGCAGGAAUGGCAUGACCCUGGGGUACUGUACUUGGGUAUUUUAUCACAGCAAUUCGAAUGGAACUAGAACAGGCAACAUCUCUAGAGCAAUACCUCCUCGCCCAGAUCAAUAAGGACUUCUCCCAGAGUGCCUGGUACACAGCUCCAAAAGGGAAAGCGGCCCUGAUGAACUCCACCCCUGGCUUUGUACUAGCUCAUGCUAUCUGUUCCUUUUCCUGCCAGUAAUCUAGCCUUCCUAACAGCAGCUCUGGGUUAUUCUUUGGAGAACUACCUUCUCCAUUACUUUCCUAGAUCCCUGUUGUUUGGGUAGAAUUGACCAUACUACCUCCAGUUCAGAAGGCAGAUCAUAAGAUCAAAGCUUGACUUAAAAAUGCCUUUCAUUUUUUUCUGCCACCAGAGGUUUACGGAUGAACAUGUAGCCCAAACCAGACUUUGAAGAUUAGCCUUGGGAAUUACACUGCACUGACUGGAAAAAAAUAAAAAACCUUCUCUCGGCAGAUUUUUCUGGAAGGUUUCUCUUUUUCCUCUUUCUUUGAAAUAAAAUAUAUUUUUGAGGGCUGUAGAGAUGGCUCAGCUCUUCAGAGUAUUAGCUGCUCUUCCAGAGGCCUCUGCUUCCAGUCUCAGCUCCCUCACAGAAGCUCACAACUGCCCCUGGACCUGAUGCCCCCUUCUGGUUUCCACAGGCAUCAGGCACUCGAGUGGCUCACUGGCAUAUACGCAGGCCAAAUACUCAUAUGCAUAAUAAAA
rnacentral:lncRNA from 1 species